AAGGCAAAAGGCGGUUGGUGGGUGCGAGGGCAACGCGCGCGCCCUCUGGUGGCCGGAGUUGCGCAGGACGGGAGCAUCGUGCUGAGUGGUGACCGUUGGUCUCGCGCCCCCUGGCCGUUUCGCGUGGAAUCACUUCAAAUUUCCAUCACUGCUGAUAGCAAGUUUGGGAGGCUACAAACAUGUGGAAACAAAGGAACUGGCAGGUUUUCGGUUUUUUCUUUUCCUUUCCUUACUAAAGAGCUGUAUGUUACACAGAAAAAUGCAAUCCCUCGAGAUGUCUGAGAGAGAGGGCGCACGCGACGCUCCCUUCCCGCGCACCUUGGCCAGCCGAGGGCUCUCGUUGCCCCGCGCCCGGGGAACCCAACGUUGCCCCUCUCAGCUAGUCUCGUGAAGUCCGGCGGUUUUGGCGGUUUGUGGCGGCUCUGGGGCUUGCGGGGCCCUCCGGGAUCCUCCUAGAACUGCAGACAGACAUUUCUUCUGGUCCCACGUGGUGACACAGGACUUCCGGACACGCCAGCGCAGAAAACUGGACUUCCUUGGGGUGCAGGUCUACAUGGAGGAGGGCCGGACUCCCUGGAGGCCGCUCAGUUACUCCUCUGCACUGUUGAUUGAAGGACAUGACUGUGGAGGCCUAAGAAGACUCAUGUGGAUCAUUUGCAGGUAGCUAUCAGGGGCUGAGCAGCCUGCAAGAUGAGGCCAAAAACACUGCAACCAUCCUUCAAAUGCUGAGUCCUGCCUGUGGCCCUCUGUACCAGUACAUCUGCAGGGGGCCUCCUGUGGUUCUACCUAGUGAAGAAAGGUCACACAGGCCUCCUCAACCCUGAAGGACAAACGUUUGCAGCAAGGACAGGAUCCUGCCCUGUGUUGUAAAGAAUAUCUGAGGAGGUCACAGGUCCCUCACCAGACAGAAAUUCCCAGGCUGGACAACACCCCCAGGGCCACUGUCCUUGGGCCCAAAGGGAAGAUGCACACACUCCAGGGGCCAAGAUGGAAACUCUUGAGUCCACAGUGUCCUUUCAGAACCAGCAGGGGACAGCUACCCAAAACCUUUUUGCCCCUCUCUGCCUCUUUUUCCAAGGUAUUUGUUUGUCUAAAGAGACAUUUUCAGUGGCAAUGGCUGGCUGGUCCCUUAAAUGUGCCUGAAGGGAACUGGCUAGUCAAUGUGCAGUGUCUGUGGAAGGGGGCGUUCCCUCCUCCCAGAAGGCAUUCAUCAAGGAGAAGUCACCUUUCAGUGCAGAGUUCUCUACAAAUCUGCUGGAUACUUGGCAGGUAGCCUGGUCCUGGGACCUGCACCCAUCAGCCAUGGAACAAACACAGCAUCAGUGGUCAGUGGUCACUAUCAAUACUUGGUAGUAAAGGGGCACUUUGUCUACAUCCUUCUAUGUGUGGGUUUGGCAGGGACAUGUGUCCUCAUGUGUGGCUCUGCUGCUGUGUUCCUAAUUGGGAAGUAGGUGUCAUUGCAGGGUUUUUAGAGGGACCUGCAUGGUACUCUGAUCUGCCUUGAUUUCCCUUGUUCAAGGCUCUCCUGUUCUGGUCCCUCUGUCACUGUGGAGCUGAGAUCUUGUCUUGCCUUUCCUUCUCUUUGGCUCCUCUUGUCCCAGAGGGAAGAAGAGCCAGGGCUUCUACUCUUACCUGUCCUCCAGCCCAACCUUCAGCCUGUGGCUUUCAUGGCACCUGGCCAAGAUGGCUCCAUAGAGGCCACACCUUUGUCACUCAUGCUUGCUACCCCUGAUCCCCUUGAAUUUGAGAGAAAAAAGGAAGUCCAGGCACCCUAAAUGGGCCACUGAACUUGAAGUCCAUUCUCUGAAGCCAGUUGGAAAAGGAGAAGCCAAGUCCUCUGUGUGUGCUCUGCACAAGCUGAAGAUCCCUGUUGCCUUCUUUCCUGGAGGACACCAGGGGGGCCUGCAGGACUGAAGGAAGCUUGAAGAUCAGGCUGCCCCCAGAAGGAUGACAGUGGGCUCCUGGUGGCACCCUGCUUCUCACCAGUGGAAGCACUUCUGUCCUGUGAGUGUGUGACCACACUCAAACUUUCUGCACAUUCUGAGCCUGAGGAGCCACGUCAUUUCCUCCUACCUUGAAAGCUGACUGGAGAUUCCCAUGGUAUCAGCCCUUGUUAUUAUUGUCCCUCACUCUAAGGACAGAGAGGGUGUGGGAACAGGACACCGACUACUGAAUGUAAGUCUCUGGUCAAAGACUUAGUGUAUGAGUGUGUGCAAGGAUGCAAAGGUCCAUAAGGUUUGUUCUAUGUAUUCUUGUAGAAAUGCAUUAUGAAAAUAGUGAAAUGUUUGGGUAAUUGAAGCUCUGAGCAGGUGCAGUGCAGAGCUUAGAAAUGGAUGAGGGAAGAAUGACUGGAGGCUUCAGACCUCCGCUGAGGGAUGUGAGGCUGGCCAGGGAAUGUCCUGGGGAUGGCCGAGGUAGAGCCUUUCCAGACUGUGAGCAUGGAGUCCUGGGUGUCCUACUCCUCUUCCCCCAAGCAGAUGCCUGGCUGCAGCACACCUGGCUAGGUUCUGCAACUACUGCCAGGUGCUGUUGCUCUUGAUGAAGAGAGCCUCCCUCAAUGCCUCACCAGCAGGAGGGCUGUGAGGGUGUUCUCCGUGUAGGUGCAACCUGCUACUAGAGUUCUGGCCAUUUAGCAGGAUGUGGGGUGAAGGAUGGCUUCAGGAUACUGGUGAAAGCAUCUUUCAGAGUGAGCCAGGGAUCCUGGGGGUGGGGGGGUAGGAGGUGCAGAUGAGCCUGGUAUCUUUGCUUAGUGCCACCGAGGCAGCUCUGACUGCUGGCUGGUCUGGGUCUCUGCCCACAGCUUCAUAUGUGUGCUUGCUUUUUUUGGUUCUUCCGGCUUCUCAGUGUAUUUUGAUUCCAAAUCAAAUGCCUUGUCCUGGUUUUUUCUUUUCCCUUUAUGGAACCUCUGGCCAACACUGGGGCUCUGUGUCCCUAGAGUCUACUGAUUGCUGGUCCUAUGAAAGAUGAUUUGUCCUGCAGCAUGAGGCCGUGGGCAGCAGAGAAGAUCGCAACCUCCAGCACAGAUGCUGGUACUGACACUGGCUAGUUGUUUUGGCCCCAACCUAGGUGUGACCCUCCUCUUGGUGGUCACAGCAUCCAAACCUAGGGACCACUGAGUCAGCAGAAUGGGGCCACACCCCCUUCCUGGACAGGGGGUCUCAGUGGCAGGGAGACUUGUACUCCCAGAAAUUUGCUAUUUGGUCCUCAACUCAGCCCUGAAUGCACCGCUAGAUGGAUUUUUCUCCUUGUCUUAGCUCCAGAAAGGCUCUGAAGUUUGCAGGAUUUGAGAGGUAACCCCUGAUGGGUUUCCCCUUCAGAAGGUCAUAUCUCCUCUUAUCCAUAGAGACAGUUUAUGCUGAUAGUCCUGGGCUCUGUUACUUGGAUCUUCUAGUCUCCUUCCUUCUUAUCAGUGAUUAAGACACUGAUACAUAUGUUUCACUGGACCCUCUUCCCCUUCCCUCUCCUGGGCAUGAGGUCUUCCCCCUGAGUAGGGGUCCCCACUCCUGCCUCUUCUAGGGUGCUCUCAUUUGUGUCUGCUGGGGUCUUAUUGUGGAGUUGGUGAUAGAUUCUUGUCUGUUUGCUGUGUUUCCCAAGCCGAGGGACUUGUGAGAGUCUACAAACGAUAUAGAGAGAUUAUGCUGCUUUGUGCUCCUCAGUCUGCCUCAACCCAUACAAUCCCUGUGAAGGACGAGUGUCAUGGGAAGUUGCAUCCUCAUUGUGUGUUGUGUGAUACCUGCCAAGAAAUAGGGUCCCGUCCUGGUCCAUCUGGACUGCUGUAACAAAGUACCUCAGACUGGGUAACUUCUAAACUACAGAAACUUACUGCUUCCUGUCCUGGAGGCUGGGCAGUCCAUGAUGAAGAAAAUCACAUUCGGUGUUGGCAGAGGCCAGUAUCUCAUGGACAGCACCUCCUAUUUGAGUUCCUCUGGCAGAAGGGACAAGAGAGCUCACCCCAUUGUUCUUGUCAGUGCACCAGUCCCAUUGCUGUGGUUGCAGCUCUCAUGACACUGUUUUCCAGAGAAGAUGGAGGUUCUGGUGACAGUAGAGAACACAGGCACAGAGCCAUCCUUCAUCAGCUUUGUGGCCUGAGGCAUUUGGACAUGAGCCCUUUCUACAUUGAAUGCCUGCCCUCCCCUGCGAAUUUUUGCUGGAAUGAGAGUUCCUCUUUCAGGACAACACCAUUGUGGCGUUUCUGAGUUCCAAUAGGCUUUGGAGUACUGUAAUGGGAAAAGCCAGGCAUGAUGGUGCAUGCCUAUCAUCCUAGAACUCUGGGAGGCUGGGCUGAGAGGAGGGUGGCAAGUUCAAGCCUAGCCUGGGCAAUCAAAGAUUUGUCGAGGCUCUGUCUCAAAAAAAGGAGGGUAAAAAUUGCUGGAGGUGUAGCGCAGUGAGACGGCUGUGGGAUAAGGACCCAGUAUCAUUCACUCACUCUCUCUCUCUCACACACACACACACACACACACUCUUCUUCACUUCACACUUUGUUUCCAUCAGCAAAAAAGUUGUUAAAUUGGUUGCUACUGCUUUCAGCAACAUAAGAAAAAGAAGAUACCCCUUCCACACAAAAAGCCGAAGUGGGUCCCAGUUUAGUCCUCACUAUAACUCCCUGAAGCCCUCACAUCCCUCCCAUCCGCUGAAGCGUGCUGCCGCCUAGCUGACUGUGCAGAAGAAUGUGAGGAUCUGAUGUGGAUUCCCAGCCUCCUGUCAGAGCUCUGGACCCUCAUGAAGGGUCCUCGAGCAUUCUUUUUCUUUUUUAAAAAAAUUCUUUUAUUGGUACAUUUUAGGUAUACAAUACAUUUACAUUCAUCAUUCUAUGUAGAGUAUCAUAUCGUCAGCAAAUAAUGACAGUUUAACUUCUUCUUUUCCUAUCUUUAUUCCUUUUAUUUAUUUCUCUUGUCUAAUUGCUGUGGUUAAUAUUGCCAAAACUACAUUGAAGAGGAGUGGUAGUAAUGGACACCGUUGUCUUGUUCUGAUUUUAGUCUGAAAGUUUUCUGGUUUUGACCAUUUAAUAUGAUGUUGGCUGUUGGUUUUUCAUAGAUAGCCUUAAUCAGGUUGUGAUAAAGACCUUCUAUUCCAAUUUUCUAUGCGGUUUUUAUCAUGAAUGGGUGUUGGAUUUUGUCAAAUGCUUUUUCUGCAUCUAUUGAGAUGAUCAUAUGGUUUUUG